rnacentral:misc_RNA from 1 species
GGUUAAUAAACAGAAAAGUAAAUUGUAGAAAAUUAAAAUCAACGUAUGACAUAGAGUCCAAAGGUUGAUAAACAAAAAUAUAGAUAUCAUAAAAUUAAAAUUAAUAUACGACAUAAAGUCCAGAGGUUGAUAGAUAGAAAAGUAAAUUGCAGAAAAUUAAAAUCAUUAUACAACAUAGAGUCCAAAAGUUCCUUUGGCCAUAUUUUGUUGAGUGCUCGGACUAGAAACUGAUUUAGACAUACCUCAAUAGAUUAGGCACAAUAAAAAUAAUUAAAGAUUUGAUUUGUCUGAAGAUAGAGAAAGAAUUAGAUGAAAUGAAAGUUAUUAGUAAUGUUGUAACCACAACCAGAGACUAUUCUCUUCGCGUUACACAGAGAGAAAUAUUUUUUAUUGUGUGUAAUCCACCUAAGCAUGUCCAAAUUAGUUUCUAGCCGAAGUACCCAACAGAAUAUAGUCAAAGAGGCUUUAGGUAUUAUUAAAUUGAAAUUUAAGUAUUUUUGUGAUACAAAUUAAAGUUGAGAGACGGUAAUGAAACAACCUCAAAGUUGAAGGACAAUGGAUGAAAUUAAGCAGCCAAAAAAUUAAGCAAAUGUCUCAUUAAUUACAUAGAAAAAAAUUACCAAUCUCUAUGACUAAAUAUGAGAAUAUUGUGAGAAAAAUUGGUAACCUUCAUUAGGUCUUGCAAUUAUGAAUUGGAAACACAAAAACAUUUCAUAUCAUUAUUCAUUAACAACAGCAAACUUACUCUUUUGCAGCUCCUCCGGUGUCAUACUCUUAGCCUUUGGAUUUGACAAAAUGCAUUUAGCCAUAAAGUUGGCAACACCAUCCACCACAUGUUCCUCAGUAACAACUACAUAAUUUUCAUCAUCAAUUCCACUCUGUUCUUCAACCUGGUUGGGAACCAUUUCUUCUGUGACCCAGACCCACCAACUAGGUUCUUCAUGAGAGACAUUAAUCAGAAUUUCAGCAGAGUGAAUAUCAUUCCCUGUAGCCUCCUUGAAAGGGAAUUCAAUCAUAGUUUUGUUAGCUGAAGCCUGCUGAAGGGAUUUAAGUCGAACCAAGAAGUUUUCAGAAUCCACAGUAGCAACUAGGCGGCUGUAUAGAUCAGGGGGGCAAUCAUUUAACAAGCAAGGCGAUUCGGAUAAAUUUUGGAGAAGUUUCAAAUUCUGCUCCAGCUGGUUCCUUAGACGCUGAUUUUCGGAUCUUAAGGACUCCAAUUCUUCGUCUAUCGUCGCACACUUGGUGUCCUUUUCGUGAUUUUCGUGGUUGUGGUUGUGGAGUUGAUGGUGAUGGGUAAAUUCCAUGGCUUUCCAGGCCACGUCGGCCACCUCGAUGACCGUCUUCGCCGCCUCUAUAGCGCCGUGGCGUCCCAUCAGUUUGAUUUCUUCGAGUCCUCUGCAAACCCUACCGAAGCUCGUUUUGCAUUGAUUUUGGUUAUGGACAGAGCCUGCGGCUGUGGCGAUGGAUCAUGGAGGAAGUAGGCAAACCUCUUCCCUUAAGAACGAUGUGUCGUUUUUAUCUUUUAAAUAAUGAUCCCCGUAAGCGACAGGGAUUCCAACAAUGUCGUAUUAUUCUUUGAACCUCAAAUCACAAGUGGCAUUGGCG